rnacentral:rRNA from 1 species
UACGUAGGUGGCAAGCGUUGUCCGGAUUUAUUGGGUUUAAAGGGCGCGUAGGCGGUCUUUUAAGUUCCGUGUGAAAUCCCUCGGCUCAACUGGGGAACGGCACGGGAAACUGGAAGGCUUGAGUUCGGGAGAGGGAAGCGGAAUUCCGGGUGUAGCGGUGAAAUGCGUAGAUAUCCGGAGGAACACCGGUGGCGAAGGCGGCUUCCUGGGCCGACACUGACGCUGAGGCGCGAAAGCUAGGGGAGCAAACGGG